AUCUAGCCCAAUCCAAGUUCAAGCUCUAGCCAAUCCAGCCCAACAACCCCUGAUCCCAGCUCAGGCCAACCAACCCCACCUCAAACUCAAACUCAAACUUCCCCUCCUCCACCGCAGGACUCAAACCUAGUCCCACCUCCGCCCAAUGCUAAACCCGUUUCACAGUCUCCGCCGCCACCUAGUCCUGACCUAACUCAGUCGCCGCCAUCACAAUCGCCGCCGCAAGUGGCUGUUUAGGCAUAUUUGAUUGAAACAAUGGAACCCUUAUUUUUCGAAUGCAUAUUUUUGCCCUUUGAUUUUGAAUAGUUUUUCUUUUGCGAAAAUAUGGCAUCGCGAUUCUGGACCCAGCCUGGAAGUGACUCUAAGGAGGAAGAGAGUGACAUUGACGAGAAAAUAUAUUAUUGGAUCGUGUCUAAUCUGGGAUGGGUCAAGGUUAGGGCUGAAGAGGCUAUCUGGGUUCAUUCUAAUGAGAUGGGCAGUGAGAGAUGCAUUGACUCAGCUUCUUGGUUUGUUGUAUUUUGGAGAAAUUGAAGACCAGUAUUCAUUUUUUAAGCUAUUUGUGAGGUUGAAACUUAUACCAUUCUCUGUUAUGUCUUCAUGGAUUCGUGCAGAGAAGAAGAAGAAGACGAAGAAGAAAAGAAAGAAAAAGAAAAAGAAAAAAAAAGAAAAGAAAAAGAAAAAGUAAAAAAAUAAAUUAUUUUAAAAUUAUUUAUUUAUUUAUUUUUAUUUGUUAAAAUUAAAAUAAUAAUUUGGACCAAUGAUAUUUCGAUACGUGGCAAUUUUAAUAGAGUUAACGGCUCAGUUAAAAUUAGGACUAACACACAAAUAAAAAACAUGAGUUUGAGGACUUAUCUGUAUCAAACUAAACUUUUGGAUGACUUUUGCUGCAAAUUUCCCUUAAAUAAACCAUCUUUUGAUAGAUAGGAAAAAAAAAAAUACUUGUACCACUUUGUUAAUGUUUUUCCAAACCCUUGUACUCUUAUUUUUAUUUUAUUUUUUUUAGGUUUUAGGGGAGGGGUAUAUCAUUUUUAUUUUUAAUUUUUUUAAUCUGUAGAUUUAUUUUGUAUUAUUUGUUACUGAUGGAAGAUAUUCUCUAAAGAAAUCUCUACGUUGUAAUCAAACAUUCUUGAUCUUAUAUUGUUUAUCGGUUCAAAUUCAAGAUUGUUCAUUUUUAACUUUGAAAUAUUACUUUCUUGAC